UCGCUUUGGCAGCACAUAUACUAAACCUGGAAUGAUACAGAGAAGAUUAGCAUGGCCCCUGUGCGAUGAUGACACACAAUUAGGUGAAGUAGUUCAUAGUUUU